AGUGAACGCUGGCGGUAGGCCUAACGCAUGCAAGUCGAACGGCAGCACAGUAAGAGCUUGCUCUUACGGGUGGCGAGUGGCGGACGGGUGAGGAAUACAUCGGAAUCUACUUUUUCGUGGGGGAUAACGUAGGGAAACUUACGCUAAUACCGCAUACGACCUACGGGUGAAAGCAGGGGAUCUUCGGACCUUGCGCGAUUGAAUGAGCCGAUGUCGGAUUAGCUAGUUGGCGGGGUAAAGGCCCACCAAGGCGACGAUCCGUAGCUGGUCUGAGAGGAUGAUCAGCCACACUGGAACUGAGACACGGUCCAGACUCCUACGGGAGGCAGCAGUGGGGAAUAUUGGACAAUGGGCGCAAGCCUGAUCCAGCCAUACCGCGUGGGUGAAGAAGGCCUUCGGGUUGUAAAGCCCUUUUGUUGGGAAAGAAAAGCAGCAGGUUAACACCCCGCUGUUCUGACGGUACCCAAAGAAUAAGCACCGGCUAACUUCGUG
rnacentral:rRNA from 1 species